rnacentral:rRNA from 1 species
UACGUAGGGCGCAAGCGUUAUCCGGAAUUAUUGGGCGUAAAGAGCUCGUAGGCGGUUUGUCGCGUCUGCCGUGAAAGUCCGGGGCUCAACUCCGGAUCUGCGGUGGGUACGGGCAGACUAGAGUGAUGUAGGGGAGACUGGAAUUCCUGGUGUAGCGGUGAAACGCGCAGAUAUCAGGAGGAACACCGAUGGCGAAGGCAGGUCUCUGGGCAUUAACUGACGCUGAGGAGCGAAAGCAUGGGGAGCGUACAGG